rnacentral:rRNA from 1 species
UACGUAGGGGGCAAGCGUUGUCCGGAAUCAUUGGGCGUAAAGAGCGUGUAGGCGGUUCGGUAAGUCUGCUGUGAAAGUCCAGGGCUCAACCCUGGAAAGCCGGUGGAUACUGUCGGACUAGAGUGCGGAAGAGGCGAGUAGAAUUCCCGGUGUAGCGGUGAAAUGCGCAGAUAUCGGGAGGAACACCUAUUGCGAAGGCAGCUCGCUGGGACGUUACUGACGCUGAGACGCGAAAGCGUGGGGAGCGAACAGG